CAGACAUACCAUGCUGAAACACCUGUUUCCGUACGAUCACCGAAGUUAAGCAACGUUAAGCAUGGUCAAUGCCUUGAUGGGUGACCGCUUAGGAAUACCGUCUGCUGUAAG